AUGAACGCUGGCGGCGUGCCCAAUACAUGCAAGUCGCGCGAACAGACGAGGAGCUUGCUUCUCUGACGUUAGCGGCGGACGGGUGAGUAACACGUGGAUAACCUACCUAUAAGACUGGGAUAACUUCGGGAAACCGGAGCUAAUACCGGAUAAUAUAUUGAACCGCAUGGUUCAAUAGUGAAAGACGGUUUUGCUGUCACUUAUAGAUGGAUCCGCGCCGCAUUAGCUAGUUGGUAAGGUAACGGCUUACCAAGGCAACGAUGCGUAGCCGACCUGAGAGGGUGAUCGGCCACACUGGAACUGAGACACGGUCCAGACUCCUACGGGAGGCAGCAGUAGGGAAUCUUCCGCAAUGGGCGAAAGCCUGACGGAGCAACGCCGCGUGAGUGAUGAAGGUCUUCGGAUCGUAAAACUCUGUUAUUAGGGAAGAACAAAUGUGUAAGUAACUAUGCACGUCUUGACGGUACCUAAUCAGAAAGCCACGGCUAACUACGUG
rnacentral:rRNA from 1 species